GAUGAACGCUGGCGGCGUGCCUAAUACAUGCAAGUCGAGCGAACAGACGAGGAGCUUGCUCCUUCGACGUUAGCGGCGGACGGGUGAGUAACACGUAGGUAACCUACCUAUAAGACUGGGAUAACUUCGGGAAACCGGAGCUAAUACCGGAUAAUAUUUCGAACCGCAUGGUUCGAUAGUGAAAGAUGGCUUUGCUAUCACUUAUAGAUGGACCUGCGCCGUAUUAGCUAGUUGGUAAGGUAACGGCUUACUAAGGCAACGAUACGUAGCCGACCUGAGAGGGUGAUCGGCCACACUGGAACUGAGACACGGUCCAGACUCCUACGGGAGGCAGCAGUAGGGAAUCUUCCGCAAUGGGCGAAAGUCUGACGGAGCAACGCCGCGUGAGUGAUGAAGGUCUUCGGAUCGUAAAACUCUGUUAUUAGGGAAGAACAAACGUGUAAGUAACUGUGCACGUCUUGACGGUACCUAAUCAGAAAGCCACGGCUAACUACGUG
rnacentral:rRNA from 1 species